AAAGGAUCAGCUGCCGGUAAGCUGGGCUGCACGGGACAGGGACUCGGGUCAGGACAGGAUGAGCCCGGGCUGCUGUGGACAUCUCAUGACCCACCGGGAGACAGUGGAGAGAUUUUGAUCUAUUGGCCAGGACCUAGACACCUGGAGCUUCCAUGGGGAGACCUGGAGGACCAAGUCCUGAGCUGAGAUGUUCCCAGCGCGUAGAGUGGACAGUGAGAGAGAGAGACAGAGAGAAAGGAAGACCUAGCACAUGAGAUCUGUAGGAAUUAGGGAAGUGCUGAGCCACACUGGCCACCACUCCAGGACUUUCUUAUGGAGAGAGCAACACCAUGGCAAGAACAUUGAAAAGAGUGAUUGGGGCAGGUGCUAUGGCACAGCGGGUUAAAGCCCUGGCCUGAAGUGCCGGCAUCCCUUAUGGGCGCCAGUUCUAGUCCUGGCUGUUCCUCUUCCAAUCCAGCUCUCUGCUAUGGCCUGGGAAAGCAGUAGAAGAUGGCCCAAGUGCUUGGGCCCCUGCACCCAUGUGGGAGACCUGGAAGAAGCUUCUGGCUCCUGGCUUCAGAUCAGUGCAGCUCCAGCCAUUGCGGCCAUCUGGGGAGUGAACCAGCGGAUGAAAACCUCCCUCUCUGUUUCUCUUUCUCAGUAACUCUGUCUUUCAAAAUAAUAAAAUACAUCUUUAAAAAUAAAAGAGAGUGAUUUUUCUCAUCACAAGAACUACAGGAAGAAUAAGGACCCUCCACACCCUCUGAAGAUGUUGACAUGCCAGUCCCUAGAACCUGUGCCUGGGUUGUCCUCCAAGGUGAAAAACGACUUUGUGGAAGCGACUGAACCGGAGAGCAGAUGGCGAGAUCGUCCUGCUCUGUGUGCAUGGGCCCCGUGAGCGGUGAUAGCCCCCACGGAUGGAGGCUAGGAGCUACCACAACACAGUGGAGACGCGCCGACAGCAGCGGGGAGCGCCGCGGUGUGGCCCCGAGCCAGGGAGCGGCGAGUAACUGCAGCCUCGACACACGGGCAGAGCCAAGGCCACGGGUUCUCCCCGGAACCACCCUGCUGACCCUCGAGUUCCCGGCUAUGAGGCUGACUUCAGACUCGGGCCCUCGAGAGCAGCAAGGGAGUGAAUGUGUGUUGGUUUACCACGCGCAGAUGUCACACGCUGAGUGCAUGGUAAUUCAUCAUAGAAGGGGGUGGAGUGGGGUGGGAUGCCAUAACGGCAAAUGGCAUGUGGCAUGUGAAGCUGGGGCCCGCCCAC